CCUACGGGAGGCAGCAGUAGGGAAUAUUGCUCAAUGGGGGAAACCCUGAAGCAGCAACGCCGCGUGGAGGAUGAAGGUUUUCGGAUUGUAAACCCCUUUUUUUAGAGAAGAUAAUGACGGUACCUAACGAAUAAGCACCGGCUAACUCCGUGCCAGCAGCCGCGGUAAUACGGAGGGUGCAAGCGUUACUCGGAAUCACUGGGCGUAAAGCGCGCGUAGGCGGGAUAGCAAGUCAGAUGUGAAAUCCUAUGGCUUAACCAUAGAACUGCAUUUGAAACUGUUAUUCUAGAGUAUGGGAGAGGUAGGCGGAAUGCUUGGUGUAGGGGUAAAAUCCGUAGAGAUCAAGAGGAAUACUCAUUGCGAAGGCGACCUGCUAGAACAUAACUGACGCUGAUGCGCGAAAGCGUGGGGAGCAAACAGGAUUAGAUACCCUAGUAGUC
rnacentral:rRNA from 1 species